UACGUAGGGUGCAAGCGUUGUCCGGAAUUAUUGGGCGUAAAGAGCUCGUAGGCGGUUUGUCGCGUCGGGAGUGAAAACGCCGGGCUUAACUCGGUGCUUGCUUUCGAUACGGGCAGACUUGAGGCAUGCAGGGGAGAACGGAAUUCCUGGUGUAGCGGUGAAAUGCGCAGAUAUCAGGAGGAACACCGGUGGCGAAGGCGGUUCUCUGGGCAUGUUCUGACGCUGAGGAGCGAAAGUGUGGGGAGCGAACAGG
rnacentral:rRNA from 1 species